rnacentral:rRNA from 1 species
GCUUGCUCCUCUGAUCAGUGGCGAACGGGUGAGUAACACGUGAGCAAUCUGCCCUUGACUCUGGGAUAAGCGUUGGAAACGACGUCUAAUACCGGAUACGACCUUGGAAGGCAUCUUCUGGGGUGGAAAGAAUUUUGGUCAAGGAUGAGCUCGCGGCCUAUCAGCUAGUUGGUGAGGUAAUGGCUCACCAAGGCGACGACGGGUAGCCGGCCUGAGAGGGUGACCGGCCACACUGGGACUGAGACACGGCCCAGACUCCUACGGGAGGCAGCAGUGGGGAAUAUUGCACAAUGGGCGAAAGCCUGAUGCAGCAACGCCGCGUGAGGGACGACGGCCUUCGGGUUGUAAACCUCUUUUAGUAGGGAAGAAGCGAGGUACUUGUGACUGAGUGACGGUACCUGCAGAAAAAGCACCGGCUAACUACGUGCCAGCAGCCGCGGUAAUACGUAGGGUGCAAGCGUUGUCCGGAAUUAUUGGGCGUAAAGAGCUCGUAGGCGGUUUGUCGCGUCUGCUGUGAAAACCCGAGGCUCAACCUCGGGCCUGCAGUGGGUACGGGCAGACUAGAGUGCGGUAGGGGAGAUUGGAAUUCCUGGUGUAGCGGUGGAAUGCGCAGAUAUCAGGAGGAACACCAAUGGCGAAGGCAGAUCUCUGGGCCGUAACUGACGCUGAGGAGCGAAAGCAUGGGGAGCGAACAGGAUUAGAUACCCUGGUAGUCCAUGCCGUAAACGUUGGGAACUAGAUGUGGGGACCAUUCCACGGUCUCCGUGUCGCAGCUAACGCAUUAAGUUCCCCGCCUGGGGAGUACGGCCGCAAGGCUAAAACUCAAAGGAAUUGACGGGGGCCCGCACAAGCGGCGGAGCAUGCGGAUUAAUUCGAUGCAACGCGAAGAACCUUACCAAGGCUUGACAUAUAGAGGAAACGUCUGGAAACAGUCGCCCCGCAAGGUCUCUAUACAGGUGGUGCAUGGUUGUCGUCAGCUCGUGUCGUGAGAUGUUGGGUUAAGUCCCGCAACGAGCGCAACCCUCGUCC